AUUGAACGCUGGCGGCAGGCCUAACACAUGCAAGUCGAGCGAGAGGCGGACGGGUGAGUAAUGUAUGGGGAAAGCCCGAUAGAGGGGGAUAACUACUGGAAAAGGUGGAUAAUACCGCAUACUGUCGGAUUACGCACAAGGGAUUAGAUAGUAGGUAAGGUAAUGGCGUCCCUAGGCGACGAUCCCUAGCUGGGCUGAGAGGAUGAGCAGCCACACUGGGACUGAGACAUGGCCCAGACUCCUACGGAGGUAGCAGUGGGGAAUAUUGAACAAUGGGCGCAAGCCUGAUGCAGCCAUGCCGCGUGUAUGAAGAAGGCCCUAGGGUUGUAAAGUACUUUCAGUCGGGAGGCGUUACCGACAGAAGAAGCACCGGCUAACUCCGUGCCAGCCGCCGCGGUAAUUC
rnacentral:rRNA from 1 species